AGCAAAGGAGAGCCUUUCUAACAAUAUUUUUAACCAGCCCUUCAAAUUCUAUAAUUCUCUAUUCUACAGAAUGCUUAAGAACUAUCCUAUGGAAAGGUUCUCACUUUAUUUUCCAUAGAGCAUUUUCAUACUGGACAGCCUUGUGUGUUUUCAUUUUCCUAUUUUCUCCCCUCAAUCCCUUAUGCAGGCAGGUUUUCAAAAGUCCUCAGGAUUACCCUAACUCUGCCUUCCAUUGAAGUGAAGGGUAAGACUCCCACUGAAAUCAACAUGAGUUUUACCACUGAAGUCAAUGGGAAUAGUUAUGUCCAUGGAUCCCUGCCUCAUUCAGUGCACAGAACGGACGAAUGCACAAGAGGGAAGAAUUAAGAUUACACAGACCACGACAUGUGCAUGACGGGGCACCAGCAGCAGUUGGCCCCAGGAAAAGGAAAGGUGGCACCAAAAGAUACAAGAACAACCAAACAGCAGAAAGGGAAUAGCAAGAGGGAUGGAAAUGAGAAGGGACACACAAGACUUGUUAAUACACGUGGAGGAGCUGGGUACAGCAUGGAGUGUUCGUGUUGCUAAGAGGGGCCGCCCUCAUGUAUUGGAUGCCAGUUGCCUAAUGGCUGUCAGAUGUGGGGAUGGAUCCUGUAACAAAAUGGAUAUAAGAUCUGCUCAACAUUUUCCAAGUUUCAAUCUUUUAAACAUUUUCUCAAAAUUCUGAAUUUCAACAAAGGGGUUGAAAUUAAAAAAAAAAAGAAAAA